CUCCUUUGACGUUAGCGGCGGACGGGUGAGUAACACGUGGGUAACCUACCUAUAGGACUGGGAUAACUUCGGGAAACCGGAGCUAAUACCGGAUAAUAUUUCGAACCGCAUGGUUCGAUAGUGAAAGGUGGUUUUGCUAUCACUUAUAGAUGGACCCGCGCCGUAUUAGCUAGUUGGUAAGGUAACGGCUUACCAAGGCGACGAUACGUAGCCGACCUGAGAGGGUGAUCGGCCACACUGGAACUGAGACACGGUCCAGACUCCUACGGGAGGCAGCAGAC
rnacentral:rRNA from 1 species